rnacentral:rRNA from 1 species
CACGGGGGGAGCAAGCGUUGUUCGGAAUCACUGGGCGUAAAGGGCGUGUAGGCGGUCAAGUAAGUGGAAUGUGAAAGCCCCCGGCUUACCCGGGGAUCUGCAUCCCAAACUGCUUGGCUUGAGUACGGGAGAGGAUAGGGGAAUCCCUGGUGUAGCGGUGAAAUGCGUAGAUAUCAGGAGGAACACCGGUGGCGAAGGCGCCUAUCUGGCCCGAUACUGACGCUGAGGCGCGAAAGCUAGGGGAGCAAACGGG